rnacentral:rRNA from 1 species
CAAUAGCGUAUAUUAAAGUUGUUGCAGUUAAAAAGCUCGUAGUUGAACUUCUGGCGGGCGCGCCGGUCUUCCAAGUGUUGUACUGGGCGCAGUCCGCCAUCCUUGUGGAGAGGGCUCGCAUUGAGUUGCGUGUCGGAUCUGCAUCAUUUACUGUGAAAAAAUUAGAGUGUUUAAAGCAGGCUGUCGCUUGAAUACAUUAGCAUGGAAUAAUAAGAUAGGACUUCGGUCUAUUUUGUUGGUUGCGAACCGAGGUAAUGAUUAAUAGGGAUAGUUGGGGGUAUUCAUAUUUAAUUGUCAGAGGUGAAAUUCUUGGAUUUAUGAAAGAUGAACAACUGCGAAAGCAUUUACCAAGGAUGUUUUCAUUA